UGAUACAAGAACCCUGAAUUCUUCAGAAAGUGAACUUCAGACGAUUUGUGCUGCUUCUGAGAAAUCCCCGCCAGUCAAUCCAAAAAAGCCCGUUUGGUCAUCACAGGAGAGGCAGCCCAUGACAUCUUCCAUCAUCACAGGAGAGGCAGCCCAUGACAUCUUCCAUCUCUGCUCUGGCUAAACAAUCGUGCUCAGAGCUUCCUCUGCUUUAAAGAUGAUCAAGCUGCGCUCAGGCAGUUUUCCCAAGAACCAUAUUUUGAGCUGAAG
rnacentral:lncRNA from 1 species